AUUAGUAUUAUUGGAUGGCAUCAUUUGAUAAUUAAACUGAGGUGGUAUAGGAUGGGCAUGCGUCUGAUUAGUUAGUUGGCGGGUAAUGGCCCACCAAGACGAUGAUCAGUAGGGGUUCUGAGAGGAAGAUCCCCCACACUGGCACUGAGAUACGGGCCAGACUCCUACGGGAGGCAGCAGUAGGGAAUAUUGGUCAAUGGAUGCAAGUCUGAACCAGCCAUGCCGCGUGCAGGAAGAAGGCCUUCUGGGUUGUAAACUGCUUUUGCCAGGGGAUAAAAUUUCCAUGCGUGGAAAACUGAAGGUACCUGGUGAAUAAGCCACGGCUAACUACGUG
rnacentral:rRNA from 1 species